rnacentral:rRNA from 1 species
UACGAAGGGGGCUAGCGUUGCUCGGAAUCACUGGGCGUAAAGCGCACGUAGGCGGAUUUUUAAGUCAGGGGUGAAAUCCUGGAGCUCAACUCCAGAACUGCCUUUGAUACUGGGAAUCUCGAGUCCGGGAGAGGUGAGUGGAAUUCCGAGUGUAGAGGUGAAAUUCGUAGAUAUUCGGAGGAACACCAGUGGCGAAGGCGGCUCACUGGCUCGAUACUGACGCUGAGGUGCGAAAGCGUGGGGAGCAAACAGG